GACGAACGCUGGCGGCGUGCUUAACACAUGCAAGUCGAACGGUAAGGCCCUUCGGGGUACACGAGUGGCGAACGGGUGAGUAACACGUGGGUGAUCUGCCCUGCACUUCGGGAUAAGCCUGAGAAACUGGGUCUAAUACCGGAUAGGACCACUGCCUGCAUGGGUGGUGGUGGAAAGCUUUUGCGGUGUGGGAUGGGCCCGCGGCCUAUCAGCUUGUUGGUGGGGUGAUGGCCUACCAAGGCGACGACGGGUAGCCGGCCUGAGAGGGUGACCGGCCACACUGGGACUGAGAUACGGCCCAGACUCCUACGGGAGGCAGCAGUGGGGAAUAUUGCACAAUGGGCGCAAGCCUGAUGCAGUGACGCCGCGUGAGGGAUGACGGCCUUCGGGUUGUAAACCUCUUUCAGCACCGACGAAGCGCAAGUGACGGUAGGUGCAGAAGAAGGACCGGCCAACUACGUGCCAGCCGCCGCAGUAA
rnacentral:rRNA from 1 species